rnacentral:rRNA from 1 species
AGCGAACUAACAGGCAGCCAGCAUACUCGGUAGUGCGUAGGGCUCAAGCGUUAUUAGGAGUUAUUGAGAGUAAAGAGCUCGUAGUGUGGCUGUUGGUGUUGGAUGUGAAAGCCCGGGGCUUGACUCCGGAUUUGCAGUGGACAGGGGCGAGCUAGAGUUCGGUAGGGGAGAUUGGAAUUCUAGGUGUAGCGGUGAACAGAUCAGAUGUCAGGAGGAACUCGGGUGGGGAAGUCUGAUCUCUGAUCCGAUACUGGCGGAGAGAAAGGAAAGGGAGGGGAGUGAACAGGAUUAGAUUCUAGGGUAGUCCCUCCGUAAACGGUGGGCUGUAGGUGUGCCUUCAUUGCUCUUUGUCCGGCACGCAGCGAAUUCAUUAAGUGGCCCGCGGGGUGCGUCCGGAAGCAAGUUAACAGUCAAAGGGAUGCGGGGGGGCCAGCCAAGUGUCAGACCAUUUGAUUAACUUUGCCUUGAGGGACUUUCCUAACAAGUCAUGACAUCCACCGUGAUGAGCAGGUGCGUCGCCCCCUAUCUAAGCCCCCGCGGGGUCGUCCGAUGGUCAUAAAUGUUUCCCCCGAAAGGCACAUUCGGUAUUAGCCCAAGUUUCCCAGAGUUAUUCCGUAG